AUGAAGUCACCUUUGAUUCUAAAUGAGUCGGAAAGUUUCCUGCCUCGUCGGGCGCAGCUUGAGCUUGCCCCAUCGGCCGCGAUCGGUGGAGGCUGCGGCGGAUCCAGCCCGGGGCCUCAAGGCCUCUCCCCAACCUCCGGGCCAGUCUCCCUCCCCCACCUUCUCGUCCGCCGGGAACUGCGGCUGCCGUCCCUGAGAUGCGACCCUCGCGGGGGCGACCCUGAGGGGUGGCGGCCCAUGUGCUGAGCGGCGGCCCAGAAGCCUAGGCGUCCGGGGACCAACUUCCUGCCGCCUGGGAACCCGAGCCUCCCGGUGUCGCGCCUCGCUCGGUCCGCACCGGCCUGCGGAGCCGGGUCCCCGCCCUGGUCGCGGGGACGCUCGCCAGGUGCCCAGGAGUCCCGACUUGGCCACUGCCCGCGCCCCGCCGGCCUCCACGCCUCGCGCGGAGGACCUCAGCCACCGCCGUCUCGGAUCGUGCCAGGCCGGGGACCGCGUCCCCCUUCCCGGGGCGGCCUCCGCUCAGCAGGGGCGAUGCAGACUGUCCCGCCGGCCGUCUAGAGCCCCUCCGCCUCCGUCACCUCUCGCCCCUUCACUCCGGGCGAGGACUGGCGGUGGCUGCCCAGAGGUGCCCAGCCACACCUUCCUUCGGCCCAAAAGGACUUUCCUGGCCGCGCCGAACCGACCCUUCCUUCAUGCUGCAGUGCUGCAACGUUUCCGCCACCAAGGGGGAAAAGCGGCCGCGAUCUCAAACCAAACACAAGAAUUGGCGUGUGACUCAUCUGCUUGGAUACCUCCAGUCCCCAAACUGUGUUCCAGGAGUUUUCUUGGCCGAAGCUGCCCGAUGUUUGAGCCUUUUC
rnacentral:lncRNA from 1 species